AGUUAACUGCGAGGGAACAUUGCCCUUCUCUACGGAAUAGCCCCGGGAAACUGGGAGUAAUACCGUAUACGCCCUUUGGGGGAAAGAUUUAUCGGAGAAGGAUCGGCCCGCGUUGGAUUAGGUAGUUGGUGGGGUAAUGGCCCACCAAGCCGACGAUCCAUAGCUGGUUUGAGAGGAUGAUCAGCCACACUGGGACUGAGACACGGCCCAGACUCCUACGGGAGGCAGCAGUGGGGAAUCUUAUACAAUGGGGGCAACCCUGAUCUAGCCAUGCCGCGUGAGUGAUGAAGGCCUUAGGGUUGUAAAGCUCUUUCAGCUGGGAAGAUAAUGACGGUACCAGCAGAAGAAGCCCCGGCUAACUCCGUGCCAGCAGCCGCGGUAAUACGGAGGGGGCUAGCGUUGUUCGGAAUUACUGGGCGUAAAGCGCACGUAGGCGGACUGGAAAGUCAGAGGUGAAAUCCCAGGGCUCAACCUUGGAACUGCCUUUGAAACUAUCAGUCUGGAGUUCGAGAGAGGUGAGUGGAAUUCCGAGUGUAGAGGUGAAAUUCGUAGAUAUUCGGAGGAACACCAGUGGCGAAGGCGGCUCACUGGCUCGAUACUGACGCUGAG
rnacentral:rRNA from 1 species